UGGCUGAGCAGUAAAGCGCCUGGCUUCCUAACAGGGGGUCCCGGGUUCGAAUCCUGG
rnacentral:tRNA from 1 species